rnacentral:rRNA from 1 species
UGGGGAAUAUUGCACAAUGGGCGCAAGCCUGAUGCAGCCAUGCCGCGUGUAUGAAGAAGGCCUUCGGGUUGUAAAGUACUUUCAGCGGGGAGGAAGGGAGUAAAGUUAAUACCUUUGCUCAUUGACGUUACCCGCAGAAGAAGCACCGGCUAACUCCGUGCCAGCAGCCGCGGAAAUACGGAGGGUGCAAGCGUUAAUCGGAAUUACUGGGCGUAAAGCGCACGCAGGCGGUUUGUUAAGUCAGAUGUGAAAUCCCCGGGCUCAACCUGGGAACUGCAUCUGAUACUGGCAAGCUUGAGUCUCGUAGAGGGGGGUAGAAUUCCAGGUGUAGCGGUGAAAUGCGUAGAGAUCUGGAGGAAUACCGGUGGCGAAGGCGGCCCCCUGGACGAAGACUGACGCUCAGGUGCGAAAGCGUGGGGAGCAAACAGG